rnacentral:rRNA from 1 species
UACGUAGGGGGCAAGCGUUAUCCGGAUUUACUGGGUGUAAAGGGAGCGUAGGCGGCGGAGCAAGUCAGAAGUGAAAGCCCGGGGCUCAACCCCGGGACGGCUUUUGAAACUGCCCUGCUUGAUUUCAGGAGAGGUAAGCGGAAUUCCUAGUGUAGCGGUGAAAUGCGUAGAUAUUAGGAGGAACACCAGUGGCGAAGGCGGCUUACUGGAGUGACAAUGACGCUGAGGCUCGAAAGCGUGGGGAGCAAACAGG